rnacentral:lncRNA from 1 species
GUAAGGUUGUAAGAGUCAGUCACGAGGGGUGGAGUGUUGCAGGAGGUCAUGGAGAGGACGACUGCCAGUUAACCGGCAAACUAGACUCGGGCAUCAGAGGCUCCUCACCAUCUCCACCUGGACCGAAUGUGUGACCGAACCCACUUAAGGCCUCUGGAUAAGCUUUUAAGAUUCUGGCGGGCAUGGGAGGAGAGCCACUCGUCUUGCAGCCGCCGAAGACCAGUCUCAUAGAACAAAGAAGUAAGAAAAAAAUUUCGUUUAAAGAAAAGCCAAAAAAUUAUUAUAGAUCUUUUCUUUUGACAUUCCUAAACAAGAACAGGCCGAGAUGGUGUCAUUUUCCAUUCUUGCCCCAACUGGUAUUGUUUGAUUUUUCUUUUCAAAUUGCCGUGAAUUUUUGCCCAAUUUUGUUUAUGUGUUGGGUGAACACCACCUCUACAUGGAACAAGUAAGGUUUCUUAACUGUCUACUUAUAUGCAAAAUAUUAUUUUGUCUUCUGAGUUUGAUUAACAGCUAACUUUAUGUAUGAUACUAGUUAUCCUUUGAGUUUUUCUUUUUGUAAGAGUGGACUAACAUCUCAGGCCCCCACAGACAAAGAAUCCAAGGAGAUUGUAUUUGGAAUUUUCCCCUUAUUAUCGCCAUAUGGCAAACUCACAACCCAAAAGAAAACUGGAUGUUGUAUUAUAUGAUUCGGAGAUUUGUACUUUUGUUUUAGAUUGUGUAUGCUUUAUUUCCAGGUUUUCUUUUAUUCCUCUGGCUUCAGAGCCUCUUUUGGUACUGCAGAAAGUCAUAGAAUAAGUUUCAUAAGGGGCUUAUGAAAAACUCCAAAAUCACAUUUUUAAGCUUCAAAAAUUGCGUCAGGGAUUUAGAAAAAUGUGAGGGGAGAUUUGCUAUUUCAUUUGCCAUAUUCAAACCAGAAAAACACGGAUGUUCUAAUAGUUUAGUGUUGGACUGAAAGUUUCUCAGAGCAGAUUUCAAAUUGGGGUACAAAUAAAAUUAACAAGUGUCAUUUACAAUUUUAAUUUGCAGUGGUCACACAUCAGAGAGCAAAGAGCAACUAGUGGGCAGUACUUACUGAACCUGGGUUGCUUUGAUGGGCUGACCAUUUUAGCUCGCUUUCCUAGGAUGCCAAUUCUUUUAAGAUCAGAACAAAAGCCUAGUAAAUUAGACAUUCUUUAUAGUAAAUAAUUACAUCUAGUGUAUGGCAAAAAUUGAGAAGAUGAUGGUCUAAAGCUACCUAAAUAUAUCUCAGGGGACCCUUCAUUUUGAGAAUUAACAAAGCUGGAAUUUCAAGACAAUGUCUAAUUGAGUAUCUGGAUGUCUUAAGUGUAACUGAUUUUAAAACUGAGUUUAUAAAUUCCUGCUCACUUAUUUAAGUCUCUUGGCAAAUGUGUUUGUGAGAAGGAAAGAGGAGGAGAUGCAAGGAUUUUGAUUUUAAGCAUUUUUGCAGAGUGUAGUCACCAAAUAAAGAAGAGGAGCUUCCGCCAGAGAAGGAGUAUGGUGAGAGAGAUGGACUGUGAAUCUAAUACAUAUGAUUUUAAACAGAUGAUCUUGCCCUUCUUUAGUUUCUGAAGAGAUAGCUAACUUAUUCUGGAAUUCAUACAUAUUAUUUUAUAAUUGCAAAAUAUGCUUUUCUUUUUGUCUCCUGAGAUAAAUGAAAUGGUUAUGUGCCCAAGGGUCAAACAUGACCUUAAAAGACUCAGUCAAGUGGUUGCUUAGGCAGUGGUGUGUUUUUUUGUUUUUGUUUUUUGCUGAGGAAGAUUCUCCCUGAGCUAACAUCUGUGCCAAUCUUCCUCUAUUUUGUAUGUGGGUCACUGCCACAGCAUGGCUGACAAGUGGUGUAGGUCUGCACCCGAGAUCUGAACCUGUGAUCCUGGGCCACCAAAGUGGAGCGUGCCGAACUCAGUCAUUAUGCCAUUGGGCUGGCCCUUGGCACUGGUGUGCUUUUACUAGUACAAUUAAACCAUGCUAUCUGCCCUUCCCCACCUCCAGAGAUUUUUGAUGGACUUGCAUUUUUGAGUUUUUUUUUUUUUUUAAAAUGUGAUGUGAAAAGAAGCAUUCUUAAAUCCUUUCAGGCAUCGAGAUCUAGUUUCUGAAGUGAGUUAUGUUAAUAACAAUGACUAAUCUGUCUUGAUACCACCUGUUAGGUAGUCUGCUAAACACUGUAUAGACAUUUUUUAAUUUAAUCUACACAGCUACCCUGUGGGGUAGAUAUAAUUUUUUCUGACACUAUAUACGUGAAAAAUUUUAGGCACAGAAAGGUUAAGUAACUUGCCUAAAGCCAUGCAGCUAGUAAAGGGCAGAGUUGGGAUUUGAACCUAGGCAUGAUGACUGCAGUGUCAUGGUCUUAACUACAGCCUAAUGGUGCCUCCUUUCCUGACCAGAAAGCAGUCAUUAGAGAGAUUGGAUCAAAAGCAAAGUCAAAGCACUUGUAUUCUCUGGUGUGAUGGACACUUGGUUGUUUACCCAACAGUCAUUUCGACUUCCCUCCAAUUUCAUUCAAGGGUUGGGCAGCCAAGAACUUCAAGCAUUGCCCCAGCCUCAGGAAGUUAAAUAGUGAUUAGUCUAAGCCAAGACUUGUACUCCAUUAUUUUGCUGUUAGUUGGUUUAGGAAUGGUCUUGUGACGAAAUUCUCGUCAAUAAGACAUUAAAAAUAAUGCUACAUGAUGGCGUCUGGAAAAGUGUACUUUGCUCUGAAAAAAGGAUAAGAAAGAGAUGCACUCUGUCCUCCCUUAAGAUUGAUAGGUGGGAUGUGAAGCUUGGAGCAGCUGCAGCCAGCUUGCAACCAUGAAGACGUAAGAUUGAGGAAGACAGACAGCAUGUUGAGAAUGGCAGAAAGAACUUGAGUCCUUGCUGAUGUUGCUAGGCUACUGCACUGAUUAAUUCUGGAAACUCCCUACCUCUAAACUUCUCACUUUCGAGAAAAUAAGUGUGCCCAACUGAUGAAGCCAUUUUGAGCUGAGUUUUCUUUUUUGGUAGCCCAAAACAUUCUAAUUGAUACAUCUGGGUUCCAGACCAUGUCCCACUCCUAUAUCUUUCAUAUCUUAUUCCCUUAUAGGUGAUAUCACGUUGUGUUUUUCUUUAUAGUUUGUGUUAGGUUAGAAACUAGCUAUAAGAUUUUCUAAACAGAUGUUUGAGACUUUCCCAAACAGAGGUAUUUUGAACAAAAGUGGAUAGUUUUGACUUUAAGAACUAAAUAUUUACAGCCUCUCCAAGCCUCUAAAGCUGUCCAGGAAGAAAAUUGUGAGUGAAUGUUCUAUCACACACAGAGUAGGAUAAACAAUACACAUGAGAGCCCUCAGGGGACUGUCAAACUACAUGAAAUUUUACACAUCUUUAAGCAAAUCUACAGAGUCCAGUGCAAAGUGAGCAAUAAGAGCCAUGAGUGGGUUUGGGACCCUCCCUGAGUUUUCCCUUCUCUGGGGAACAUCCAUCAGUGAUUGAUGAUGCUCAUCCAUACAUAUGCUCUUGCUAUUAUCAUGAGACAGUCUAAAGAAUUCAAAUACGUAGACCAGUUUCUCAGUUGAAGUUUAGCAUAUUCUUGACUUUAUUUAUCUAUAACUCCGUGUGUGAAGAGACCACAUCUCAGUGGAAAGUGUUCAUGAAAGCAAAGGGUAGGUUUUAACUUUAUUUACUUAUUUUUUUAUUUUUGAAGCAUAUGGGAUGCCUCUCAGGAAAGUUAGAGACAUGUUGCAAGACCUCCUCAGCUGCGGCCUGUUGUCACCAGCUGUGACAUGUCUUCCACGUCAGUCGUAUGCAUGUCACAUUUCACAAAAUGGAACUCAGUGCUUUCUUUUGGAAUAUAACCUCUUGAGGACAAGAAGCAGUUUUUAUAACCAGUUCAGUUGGUUUUGUUAGAGUAGGGCAUCUCAGACUCAAUAUUCAUAUAUAGGCUUGGUUUUAUCUCUAGGACUGGCUCAGAUAACCUGGGAAAUCAUGAAUGUUUAUUUUUUCCCCCUGGAUCCAUGGAGCCAAAUACAGCGUGUCUGGAAGCCCUUCCUAUGGGUCUUGGAGGUGUUCUAACUCCUUCUGGUAAAAUGUCUGACCAUUUAGUAAAUGUCUCCUCUAGUUUGUUCUGCCUCAGUUAGUAAUCAAGGAUGGUGAAUUUAUCUGUUUGUUUAUGAGUGUGUCUCCCUCAGUUGAUGGUGAAUUCCUUGAGGAAAAAGGUACUUGUAUUUUUGAAUUUCCAGCGUGUAGCACAGUGUCUGGCACGUAGCAGCAGCUGAUCAAUAAACUCCAUAACAUUUUUUUCCCUUUAAUUUCAUUAGGUCACUAAGAAAGACUUAAAGACGAAUACAGCACUAUGUCCUACACUGAUCUUUUGCCAAAGUAUAGAAUGGGCUAUGCAGACUCCAGCCCAGUUGGUGUUCUGUAUGCAGCCAAAGAUUUCAAGGGGAGGGAUGGUCUCCUGGAACUGAUUUGUCCUGGACAACAAAGGCAGAACGCCAGAUGCAUGUUUGUAGGAAAUCCACGGUGCUCUUGUUACAGCUCUAGAAGCCAAAGCAAAACAUCCCUCCCUUCCCUUUAAGCACUGAAUUUGGGAAUUGGCAGACACAUAAUACAUGUCAAUGGUUACUAAAGAAUGAAAAACUAGAAAAAUAUUAAAUCUAGGGUUACAAUGAUCUGAUUAACCACAAAUGGUACAAAAAUUGAAAAUCUAAUAAGAAAGCUGGCAGGGCAAGUAGGAUUGAGACUUUCAUAAAACUGAUCAACAUAUUGAAACAGAAACAUAUUAAGUGUGGUACUUGUGCCUUGACAGGAUUAAAAUCCCCCCACCCUUAAAUGUAUCUAAUGUAAUCCCAGAGAUGAGGAAAUUCCCAAAUGUCAUCUGCCUCAUUAUGCUUCUCUUGGUGAUCAAAAUUCAGGAUGCUGUUGCAAAGGGUAAAGAAAGCAGCAUGGGUAAUUACAAACAGAAUGUCUCUGUUGGAAUGUACUAUUUUAUGCUCAUAAGGUAUCUUCCUUCUCAAAGUGUUCUGGGAGGCAUAGAAAAAUAUUAAAACACAUUACCUUGUGAAGGAACCCAACACAGAAUAGAAUGAAGCAAUGGGAAGAAAGUUGGCUCAGAAGAUGAAACUUGACUCCUGUUCUUUGAAAGGGGCCAAGGGACAUUUAGUGUUUAAACAAGCCAAAAGGAGCAUUCGCUUUAACAUCUAAAUUAUUUUCCAGAUCAGAAUGACUUUGUAAGCACUUAGCUUUGGCAUGAUGUCCAUUAAUACAGGCUCAGGGUUUCUUAAGCAAAUGGGAUUCUGUCAGCAAAAAUGAAGAUCUCUCAGUUUUGUUUUGUCCCUACCCUGCGGUGUAGCAAAGCACUCAUUUCUCUAUAUUACACUUCAGUGAACAGUGACUGGGGGACAGCACAAUGUUCAAAGAUAAGACUGUGCUUAUAAGGUGCGUUAAUGGGUAUUUCCUCAAUAUCUUCUCCCUUUUCCUUCCUACUCUUGCUUGUAAAGCAGCAGCCUCCAGAAGUGGUGGUAUUUCCAGUUUGGGAAUGUGGGCCUGGAAGAGGGGAGGUGUAAAUAAAGCCCAGGGAAUAUGUGUCUGUGAAAUGGUGAUAGGGCUGUUCGUUUCUAACAGAGAGUUCAUGUGAGGGGUUGAUAGGAUUGAAGGCUUCAAAGGAAAUCCUGAUGGAUACCAUUGAUCCUUGACUUUGUGUCUGAUGCCAUUCUGGGUGCUUGGCUUGUAUCAUUUUAUUCAAUCCUUAUAAGCCUAUUAGCUAGGUACCUAUCAGCAUUUUAGAGACUCAGAGAGGGUAAGUAAUAGGUUAAGUAAAGGUCACAGUAUUAGCAAGGGGUGGACCCUGGAUCUGAGUACAAGCCAUCCCACCUGGAACCGGACACAUCUCCCAUGAUGUGGCUGCCUCUACUGGUGGGAUAAGACCAGACCAUGGAGGGCCUUGAACAUUAGAUAAUUAUUUAUUUACCCUUUAUUCUGUAUGUAGGUCAAUGCUUUCAAAAGAUUUUAAAGCUUGUGGAAUGUUCCUUCAAAUGACAUUUUACUAAUAUCUUAAAGAGAUGAAAGUGAAAAUGCCAAUAUACUAAACAGGAACACUCAGUAUAUUAACAGAUGAAAGUGAACGUGCUGUGGUUGAUAUGGGCAAGGACGUGGACUCCCCCUACUCGGCUCCUCUCUUUGCUGUGGCCCAGGAGACUCAUCUGUGGCACUCCCAGGGCCCAGCUUGACAAUAAUGGCUGUGUGCAAGGGGCGUACUGGAGUUUUUGAAUAGAGUAGUGUAUCCCUGAAUGGGGUAUUCUAGAAAGGUUUCUUUAGUACUGACGUACAAGAUGAUGGGAAGAGACAAAGCGUAGGCAAAUGACAACCUGUCAUCUGGCUACUGCAGGAGCCCAAGCUUGAUUUGCUGAAGGCCUCUAGCCAGUAGAAACAGAAAGAGGUGGAUGUGAAGAAAGAAUUAAGCGAAGGAUAAAUGGUUGACGGUGAAGUGUUGUGAAAGGGCAGAAUGUAAGUAUUUCAGAGAAGAAUAUUUUUUUCAUUAAAAAAACAAGGUGUCAAUAGUCAAAGCGUUGGUUUGCUGAAUUCUUUUUAGUUUAUUCCUUCAUUGAAUUCAUUACCUUUUAGAGCAAAUUUUUUUCAGGACAAAAUAUUUUUUAGUUUAAAAAAAUUUUUGUUUUCCUUCCAUAUUUCAUUUUAAAAGGCAGAUUUAAGAUGCAGGAUAUAUAGAACAUGUUGUAAUCCAUAAGCACUCAAGCAUUAACUGAAAAGCACACAAUUAAUUUAAAUCUUAGAAUGGUCUGUCACUACUCCUUGAUCUGAAACAAGCGAGAGAUUGAUAGUGUCACACCGAACCCACAGAGGGAAACCCAAAUAUGUGGCGUGAGAGGUGGGGUUGUGGUUCCACAGACUUGACUGCAAGGAAUGUACUCCUGGUUUUAAGAAUCAAUAGAACAUUUAUGUUGAUUAUAUCAAGCUCUUAAAUCUCUUUCACCUCUGGAUGUCAACCAAAUAGAUUACGGAAUUUUUGAAAAAUUUUCAGUCCGAAGUUAGAUGGCUAUGUGGCUAUGUAGAUGGAUGAACUUUCCCAGGAAUGACUGCAAUUUAGAUCCGGAAUCAUAAAUCAUUUUUAAUUGACUAAAACUGGUCCCUGAAGAACAGUAAUCAAAAUACAGUGCUGGCUAAUGAAUCCACUGCGAAAGACAAUUGUAGCACUUCCGAUGGAGGCCAUUGUUUUUAAACUGCGACUAAAUUGUUUCAGUAAAUUCCAUUUGGACUUAUGAAUAAACAUUCAUUCUCCUUUGGGCUUUUAACCUGUCUCUGCCUUAGAAAACUCACCUCAGCUCCAUUAAUUCACGAUGUUUUUUUUCCAGUGGUAUGAUUUAUACACUAAUGAUUUUCUAAUUUCUAUGUUUACAAAAGCCUAUCUCAGGGGACAUCAUGUUCUUGGGUGGUUUAAGCAGUCUGUUGGGUAAAAUAUAUGAGAAUGACUAACAGUAGGAGAUGUUAACGUAAAGAGAAAGUGUGAGUUAAUGAGCUGCUUUUGAAACAAGUUGGAACAUUGACACUGUUGAGGAGGGGGACUCCCAACGCACUCCUGGCUUCAGGACUAUUCUAGAAACUAUAGUGAAGCAUUUCUUUAAACCACAAGAGUGUGAAAUCUUUCUAAAGUGUCUCAGAAAGCAAAAAGGGGUAUACUAAUGAACACGAACUAUAAUACAAUUCCAAUUUUACAGCACACUUAACGUUGCUGAUAGCAUCUUAGAGCAAAAUUAAAUCAAAUCGGAAGGAGAUUCUGGUAGGGAAAUAGUCCUCCUGGCUGAGAAUGGAUGCUCAUUUAAGUAUUAUUUACCCUAGGUUGACAAUGCGCAAGCCAGCACCACGGAGUUUGUAUAGGGGAUUGCAAGAAGAUACUCAAAUUGGUUGGAGUAUUUUAUGAUUUUCUCUAUAGUAUGAAGAAACAUCUACUUUGGGAUAAGAGAAGAAAAGGGACAAUUAUGUUUGCACACUUAAAUUUCUCUCAAUAGAGGACUAAAAAAAGGCAAUACUACCCCUCCAAAAAUAUAACAGUUUUCAAAUAACAAGUUGCUUAAAUUAACUUAGAGAGCAGUCUUACAGAAGAACGCGUUGACUUUUAAAAGCAAAUUUCCUUGAGUACUUUACUGACUUUUUCUCUUCUCUAUGGUGUCACAAGAUAGAAAAAGCGACAUAUGCUUUCUUCCAACAGUCUCUACAUUGUAAUUUAAAAAUGCUGAUUAAAGGAUGAAGGGUAACAUCAUUAAGUUUUGGAAGGAAAAAUCAGGAAAUCUAACCAUGUAACUUCAAAUUAAUUACUUAUGAAGGUUCUUCUCAACUGUGCUGAUUUCACCUGGAAACUGACAGCUUGGUCUUCCUCCUGUUGGCUGCUGUCAUUCCUUUCAGCUCUCAGGGCUCCUUUCUGCUGGUUCCGCAGGAAUUCCACUGAAUUGAGUCUGACUCCUCAUUGCCUCCUCCCUUCUCCAGCCAGCCUCACCAGGCGGCAGUUGACUUGGCCAUGUCUACCUGGGAGAAGAAUUACAAAACUGCCUGACUUUUUGCUGUCUUUCCUCAUCCCACUUCCUUAAUAUUUAAAUACCUCGUUUGGAUCCUAGAGCUUCUGAUGUACGGAUCAAAACAUUGCAGUUAAGGACAACAGAGAUAUCAAAUGGACUUAUGUCAAUGAAGGAGUUAAAAGAGAGAUUUUUCCAGGCAUCUGGCCUCAAAUUAGCACUCUGGAAUGUGGGGAAUGUUUUAAACAGAAAAAAGCUGAGUUGUAUAUUAUAAUACAUGGUAACUUUUUAAAUGUUAGGGUUUCACAUCACAGAACAUACACACUGGAAAUUAAAUGAACCAUUGUUUUGAAAUUUCUGCUGUUCAGAUACUUACCUAAGCACUAGUUACAGCUGAUUUAAAGACAGGGGCGGGGACCUCAAAAGACUUGUGUGUGAUUUGAGGUUCUGCUUUCGUUACUUUUUAUAAAAGCUUGGGCGAGCCAAAUUCCCAAAUGUUGGUCUGAAGUUUUAGAGCUUAUUUUACCAUUACCUUUGGAUCAGGCGGGUAUUUAAUUUCUUGGAAGGUAGGAGAAAAUGAAAUGCUAGAGGAAAUAGAGUUACAAAUUGAUUUUCAAUCUGCUCUUUGUUGAGAAAUUU